rnacentral:rRNA from 1 species
CAGCCGCCACGGUAAUACGUAGGUGGCAAGCGUUGUCCGGAAUUAUUGGGCGUAAAGGGCUCGCAGGCGGUUUCUUAAGUCUGAUGUGAAAGCCCCUGGCUCAACCGGGGAGGGUCAUUGGAAACUGGGAAACUUGAGUGCAGAAGAGGAGAGUGGAAUUCCACGUGUAGCGGUGGAAUGCGUAGAGAUGUGGAGGAACACCAGUGGCGAAGGCGACUCUCUGGUCUGUAACUGACGCUGAGGAGCGAAAGCGUGGGGAGCGAACAGGAUUAGAUACCCGAGUAGUCCCUGUCUCUUAUAC